rnacentral:rRNA from 1 species
GUUGAUCCUGCGGGAGGUUGCUGCUAUUAGGAUUCGACUAAGCCAUGCAAGUCUUCUAGCAAUAGAGGCAAACUGCUCAGUAACACGUCAAUAAUUUGCCCUUAGGUCUGGGAUACCCUUGGGAAACUAAGGUUAAUACCAGAUAGAGUAAGAGUACUGGAAUGUCAUUACUUGAAAAGUAAUGCCUAAGGAUAAGAUGGCGGCCGAUUAGGUUGUUGGUGAGGUAACGGCUCACCAAGCCAAAGAUCGGUAGGGGCCCCGAAAGGGGUAGCCUCGAGAAGGGUACUUAGACACUGACCCUAGCCCUACGGGGUGCAGCAGGCGCGAAACCUUUACAAUGCACGCAAGUGUGAUAAGGGAAUCCUAAGUGCUCUGCUUAUAGCAGGGCUUUUUUGCCAAAUGUAAAUAGUUUGGAGAAUAAGUGGUGGGCAAGACUGGUGCCAGCCGCCGCGGUAACACCAGCGUCCACAAGUGGCAACCAUUUUUAUUGGGCCUAAAGCGUCCGUAGCCUGUUUAGUAGAUUCUUUGUGAAAUUGUUAAGCUUAACUUAACAACGUGCAGAGGAGACCGCUAAACUUGGAACCGGGAGGGGUUAGAGGUAUUCUGUGGGGAGCGGUAAAAUGUUAUAAUCCUCAGAGGACCACCUGUGGCGAAGGCGUCUAACCAGAACGGAUUCGACGGUGAGGGACGAAAGCUAGGGGAGCAAUCCGGAUUAGAUACCCGAGUAGUCCUAGCUGUAAACUCUGCGAGCUGGGUGUUGCAUAUUCUUAGUGGAUGUGCAGUGUCGAAGCGAAGGUGUUAAGCUCGCCGCCUGGGAAGUAUGGUCGCAAGACUGAAACUUAAAGGAAUUGGCGGGGGAGCACUACAAGGGGUGCGGCGUGCGGUUUAAUCUAAUUCAACGCAGAGAAUCUCACCAGAAGCGAUGGCAGGAUGAAGGUCAGUCUAAAGGGCUUACCUAACGAGCCGAGAGGUAGUGCAUGGCCGCCGUCAGCUCGUGCCGUAAGGUGUCCUGUUAAGUCAGGCAACGAGCGAGACCUGUGCUUACAAUUGCUAACGAGUCUGCAAAGAUGAUCGAGCACAUUGUAAGAACUGCCUCUGAAAAGGGGAGGAAGGUGCAGGCUACGGUAGGUCUGUAUGCUCCGAAUCUUCUGGGCUACACGCGCGCAACAAUGGUAAGGACAAUGGGAUACGACUCUGAAAAGAGAAGUUAAUCCUCGAAACCUUAUCUCAGUCCAGAUUGAGGAUUGUAACUCAUCCUCAUGACGCUGGAAUCCCUAGUAAUCGGAGUUUAUCAUACUCCGGUGAAUAUGUCCCUGCUCCUUGCACACACCGCCCGUCAAGCCACCCGAGUAGGGUU